UCCCCACAGAGGAGUUUGAAAUUCUUGCUUCAGGCCAUAUGGAGUGGAUAUUCCUUCCAGAAGGAAAUUACAGACCACUCUCUGUUUCUACUCAACUGCUUUUCACUCCAGGAUGCUUCACCUCUUGGGGCCUUCCCCAGCAGAGGCCCAGGAUCACCUGCAAAAGGCUUCCCCAAGGGUGGGGCCAGAAGCAGGGCUGCAGAUAUGUGUCCUGAACCUCCCAUGGACCCUGCUGGCUCCCUUCAAAGGCUUCGGGCAUAGCGACUUGCCUUUCCGUCUUGUUCAGUCGUCACCAGUCAGCCGUCUGCAGACUUCUCUCCCUCACGUUGUGGCAGAGGAGUUGUACAUUCUCUAGAUUUUAAAAAUAUAUAAGUUACUUUUUCUUUAAAAUAAAAAUUGUCUCUGAAAUAA
rnacentral:lncRNA from 1 species